AAUAUUGGACAAUGGGGGCAACCCUGAUCCAGCCAUGCCGCGUGUGUGAAGCAGGUCUUCGGAUUGUAAAGCACUUUAAGGUGGGAGGAAGGGCUUUAGGUUAAUACCCUUAAGUUUUGACGUUACCAACAGAAUAAGCACCGGCUAACUCUGUGCCAGAAGCCGCGGUAAUACAGAGGGUGCAAGCGUUAAUCGGAAUUACUGGGUGAAAAGCGGGCGUAGGUGGUUCAGUAAGAUGGGUGUGAAAUCCCCGGGCGUAACCUGGGAACUGCUUUCAUAACUGCUGAGCUAGAGUACGGUAGAGGGUAGUGGAAUUUCCUGUGUAGCGGUGAAAUGCGUAGAUAUAGGAAGGAACACCAGUGGCGAAGGCGACUACCUGGACUGAUACUGACACUGAGGUGCGAAAGCGUGGGGAGCAAAC
rnacentral:rRNA from 1 species